AGUGAACGCUGGCGGUAGGCCUAACACAUGCAAGUCGAACGGCAGCACAGUAAGAGCUUGCUCUUACGGGUGGCGAGUGGCGGACGGGUGAGGAAUACAUCGGAAUCUACUUUUUCGUGGGGGAUAACGUAGGGAAGCUUACGCUAAUACCGCAUACGACCUACGGGUGAAAGCAGGGGAUCUUCGGACCUUGCGCGAUUGAAUGAGCCGAUGUCGGAUUAGCUAGUUGGCGGGGUAAAGGCCCACCAAGGCGAUGAUCCGUAGCUGGUCUGAGAGGAUGAUCAGCCACACUGGAACUGAGACACGGUCCAGACUCCUACGGGAGGCAGCAGUGGGGAAUAUUGGACAAUGGGCGCAAGCCUGAUCCAGCCAUACCGCGUGGGUGAAGAAGGCCUUCGGGUUGUAAAGCCCUUUUGUUGGGAAAGAAAAGCAGCAGGUUAAUACCCCGCUGUUCUGACGGUACCCAAAGAAUAAGCACCGGCUAACUUCGUG
rnacentral:rRNA from 1 species